rnacentral:rRNA from 1 species
CAGGACGAACGCUGGCGGCGUGCUUAACACAUGCAAGUCGAACGGGAGUAUUGAAGAAGCUUGCUUUAGAGAUACUUUAGUGGCGGACGGGUGAGUAACGCGUGAGGAGCUGUCCUAUGCAGGGGGACAACAGCUGGAAACGGCUGCUAAUACCCCAUAAGCCGAGAGGUAAAAGGAUCAAUCCGGCAGAGGAGGUACUCGCGUCCUAUCAGCUAGUAGGUGAGGUAACGGCUCACCUAGGCGAAGACGGGUAGCCGGCCUGAGAGGGCGAACGGCCACACUGGAACUGAGAUACGGUCCAGACUCCUACGGGAGGCAGCAGUGGGGAAUAUUGGGCAAUGGGGGGAAAAACCCCCUGACCCAGCGACGCCGCGUGGGUGAAGAAAUCCUUCGGGAUGUAAAGCCCUGUUGUAUGGGAAGAGCGGAAGACGGUACCAUACGAGGAAGCCCCGGCAAACUACGUGCCAGCCGCGGC